GACGAACGCUGGCGGCGUGCUUAACACAUGCAAGUCGAACGGAAAGGCUCCAGCUUGCUGGAGUACUCGAGUGGCGAACGGGUGAGUAACACGUGGGUGAUCUGCCCUGCACUUCGGGAUAAGCCUGGGAAACUGGGUCUAAUACCGGAUAGGACCGCACUUUGGUGUGUGUGGUGGAAAGGUUUUUCUGGUGUGGGAUGAGCUCGCGGCCUAUCAGUUUGUUGGUGUGGUAAUGGCCUACCAAGACGGCGACGGGUAGCCGGCCUGAGAUGGUGGACGGUCACAUUGGGACUGAGAUACGGCCCAGACUUCUACGGGAGGCAGCAGUGGGGAAUAUUGCACAAUGGGGGAAACCCCGAUGCAGCGACGCCGCGUGGGGGAUGAAGGCCUUCGGGUUGGAAACUCCUUUCGCUAGGGACGAAGCUUUUUGUGACGGUACCUGGAGAAGAAGCACCGGCUAACUACGUG
rnacentral:rRNA from 1 species